AAGUCUAAGUCGUUAACGGAUACGAUAUGGGAAGGUUGAGCUGUUGUUUAUCUGUUCCUAGAGAUGCUAGAAUUCUGGAGAAUUUUAUCUUUGAAAAUCUUUAAAAUGUUGCAUGAUGAGUUCCUGUAUGAUGAGAGUUUAAAAUCCUACCAUAGCCAUAUAUACAAGCUUAUUAGACUAUGAACCAAACAUUUACUUUUUACUGCUUAUAAGCAUUGAGUGUGGUCGAGCUGUGUAGACCCUUAGGAGCUUGUCAUGCGGUUAAAAUCAAGAUUCACUUGCACGUUCACUCAUACAUGUUGCUUCUACUCUGGAAGUACGCAUCCACAUACAUCCACUCAUUUCCAUAUCCAGAUUCACCCAAAAUUAUUCUACUCCUAUCUAGGAGAGAAUAGCCAAAAACAUUAUCCUAUCCCUGUUAUUCCCCGUGAGAUAAAUGCUCGAGAUAUUUUGGUUAGUACCACUUGCUUCAUUAUUCUAGGAGGGUGAGUGCUCUAAAAAAGUGAAUAUGAGGAAAUAAAAAGGGGCAAGUGCCUGAAACCUCGAGGAAAAAAAGAGAAAAAGUGAGACGAGGGGUAAAAAUGGACAAGUGUUCGACAGUAGAAUUAGGGGUACAAGAUACCCACCUGAGAGAAAAGAAAAAAUAAAAUAUAGAGCAUCUCAUUUCCCUCAAAAGCCUCAAGUGCAAGGAAGGUAUGUACCCCGUCAAAAGAGCAAAAGUAGAAUUAGACUUUCACCAUUAUUUUCACCAUUAUCACCAUUCAUUCGCCACACAUGCACAUCUUGAUUUGACUUAUUGACUUGUUCUUCUGGAUCCAUGGUUUGACUAUGCAAUAAAUGUCUUGUAAGUAUGUAUUAGUUGUCUCCCACCUAUGAGCUCCAGAUAUCAAAACCUUAUUAGAGUAGGGUAAGAGAGAAGGCAAUGCCACUAUGCCUCAUACCAAAAAUACCACAUACUUUGAGAGAAGGCAUACAAUAUUACUGCCUUGGUAAGGAUCCAGAAAUUCCACAAA
rnacentral:lncRNA from 1 species